rnacentral:lncRNA from 1 species
GGACAGUCACGGUUACGCACACAGUUGGCAAUUUUAUUAGCUUAUGUUAAAGUUUUCUAAUACCGGAUGUUAACAAAAUAUUCCAAGUUGCCACAUAACCGCGGGCACGGCUUUCCGAAAGAUUAAACCCUGCAGGGGUGCUCCAACUAGUCCAUCACAAACGUACACAGGCCGCAAAGGCAUCCUCUAUCACGAAUCUCGUGAUCUCGUCGGAUUCCUUAGAGG